GUUGAGGGGAAUGAAGCCUGGUCCGAGAUCAUUCAGUACUGACAAUAAAAGAAUGAAUGGUUUCGAACCAGACAGCAUCCCUCUCAAC
rnacentral:pre_miRNA from 1 species